rnacentral:rRNA from 1 species
AAAUUGAAGAGUUUGAUCAUGGCUCAGAUUGAACGCUGGCGGCAGGCCUAACACAUGCAAGUCGAACGGUAACAGAAAGCAGCUUGCUGCUUUGCUGACGAGUGGCGGACGGGUGAGUAAUGUCUGGGAAACUGCCCGAUGGAGGGGGAUAACUACUGGAAACGGUAGCUAAUACCGCAUAACGUCGCAAGACCAAAGAGGGGGACCUUCGGGCCUCUUGCCAUCGGAUGUGCCCAGAUGGGAUUAGCUAGUAGGUGGGGUAAAGGCUCACCUAGGCGACGAUCCCUAGCUGGUCUGAGAGGAUGACCAGCCACACUGGAACUGAGACACGGUCCAGACUCCUACGGGAGGCAGCAGUGGGGAAUAUUG